UCGAGAAUUUUUCUCAAUGGGGGCAACCCUGAAGGAGCGACGCCGCGUGGAGGAUGAAGGCUUUCGGGUUGUAAACUCCUGUCAUUUGAGAACAAGUGUAGGCAACUAACUACUGCCUACUUGAUAGUAUCAGAAGAGGAAGGGACGGCUAACUCUGUGCCAGCAGCCGCGGUAAUACAGAGGUCCCAAGCGUUGUUCGGAUUCAUUGGGCGUAAAGGGUGCGUAGGUGGCGUGGUAAGUCGGGUGUGAAAUCCCGGGGCUCAACCCCGGGACUGCAUUCGAUACUGCCGUGCUUGAGGACUGGAGAGGAGACUGGAAUUUACGGUGUAGCAGUGAAAUGCGUAGAGAUCGUAAGGAAGACCAGUGGCGAAGGCGGGUCUCUGGACAGUUCCUGACACUGAGGCACGAAGGCCAGGGGAGCAAACGG
rnacentral:rRNA from 1 species